CGCAGUCUUCGGGCGGCAGGGCGCAGACGAGGUGGCGAAGGCGGCGGGCGCGGGGGCGAGGGAACCCCGGGCGGGACCGGGAACCAGAGGGCGCUCCCUCCUAGCGCCCGGACCCGGGUAACUUCCCGUCGCCCGGCACGGAGUUUCCUUGCUGCCCACGACAGGAGGCGGCUUGGAGGGCAAGCGGGGUAAACCCCCACGCCCAUCCCACCUUUAUCCAGGGGGAACCAGAGGAGCCAGCAGGUUCGGACUCACUGAGAGGGCUCCACGCGGGGCCUCCCACGCACAGGUUCCAGAUGCGUCCUCGACUCAUUCAGGAAAAGCACGGAACAAAUCACCCUAUCCUGAACUUUGCCAUGGAGCACAGGCCGAAGCUGUCUGUUCUGAGGACCCAUGAUGCUGAGCGGACUAUGUCUCCCUCCACUCCUCAGCACUUGUGACCUCUGGGGGCUGAGUGGGGCGGGGGUGGUGGGGUGGUGGAGUCCUCCAGGCAAGACAGGUGAGACCCAGGCCAGGCCGCUCGGGGCACUUCUGGGAGGCUUUGCUGACUGCCCUCAUUAGGGAAGCAGGAGGGCGCUAAGAUGUGGGUGCUUGGCUGCCACCUCCAUAAAGCGGUUCAUUUGAUACAUGCAAGGGAGGUUUCACAGGCUAAGCCAGCUGGCACUUGACCCCUGGCUUCAUCAUAACCAUCUCAUCUGCUGAAACAGAGGGCGUUGUCAGAACACACCAGAGGCCCAGGCCUGCAAGUUCACAGUUGUCUGGCCUCAGGUCUCAUCUGACAACUGUCAUCCAAGCCCCUCUUGUUGGGGCUCUGGGCAUUUGUAACUCUGCGAGGUUCCCAACAGGACCUGAGUGCACGGAUCCCCCCACCCAGGCUAUCUAACUGAACCCCAAAUCACAGCAGGAGACGAAAAACUUCCAAGGUCAAAGAGAAUACAGGGAGGCGUGGACCAUGAAAUGGAGAGAUGCAGGCUCAAACAGCCCUCGCUUGACGAUGCAUUACCAUUCUCCCAGCCCUGCCAGCCUCCCCACCAAAUGGACCAGGUCCUGGCUGCAUCUCCUAUCAGAAGGCCACCUGCAAGCCAAGCCCCGGAGGGCGGCGCCUUCCCCUCCUGCCCAUUGGCCCUAGCAGGGCUUCCGGCCCCUUUGGAUCUUUUUGCGGUCUGGGCUUGCUGUUCCUCUCUACAGUAGUCAGGAAGCCCUUACCCCAAAAAGUAUCUGCGGGAGGCCUUGUCUACAGAGGCACGCCCCGGAGGGCUCCCGGUGGGUCACAUACCAAACCCGAAGCCAUCAACCUGACCUUAGGGCAAGUGCUGAGCCUCUCUGUGCCUCAGUGCUCCACCACUGGACCGUCAAUCAAUUGACCUGUCAGUUACCAGUGCGGGAAGUCUGGGGGAGAUUCCACGAGGUAAGAAGAAAUAGGAGUGGCUCAGUUAAUGUGGUGGAGGUUGUGUGAUGACUUGGCCCCAGUCUUCUGUCCUGUCUGGAAACCACCUCCCUCUAAGCUUCUUUUGGGGAAUUACCUCUCCUAUGCUGUGGGCACUCCUGGUGGGACUGUCACUUGAGGCAUCUCACAUUUCCCUGCCCACCGUCCCAAGACAGGCCUGGGAAUUGAAAUCCCAUGGGCAGGGAUAUGAGACUGGAAAUGAAACAUCGAUGCUGAUUGAGUGGCAGCUCUGCUGAUGGGGAGACUGUGAGCUCGUGCUCCUGGAGUCCCCUGAAUUGCCUGGCGCCUGCCCUUCCCCAGCCUGGACCCUCAACUGCCCCCCUUCAUUUUAUGAACCACUCCCAAAUCCCUCCAAUAAAAUGCUUUAUUGCUCUAGUUAAGCAGUCAGUAGAGUUGCUUGCCUCAAGAUCCAGAGACCCCUAGAGACAGGAGGUAGGAUUGCUUACCUUGGAGAGGAGGCAGGGCAGGCCCUGGGGGAGCUGAGUGACCGUCCUGGAGGGUGGGGCCACCCUUGGUGUCAGCCCCCAGGGCACAAGGGACAGAGCAGAAGACAGAGAUCACAUACACAGCUCGGGUUAGGGUCCCAGGAAGCGUUCUCAGAAGGUGAAACAAUGUUGGGAUGCAGGACAGAGGAGAACCAUGUAAUAUGGAGCAAUGUGACAUAUAGAUAAACAGGGCCCUCAGGACUUCCCGGGGGUCCAGUGGCUGGGACUCCCAGCUCCCAGUGCAGGGGCCCCAGGCUCCACCCUUUUGGGGGGAACUGGAUCCCACAUGCUACAACUAAAGAUCCCAAGUGCUACAGUUAAGGCCUGGUGCAGACAAAUAAAUAAUUUAGCAGAAAGAUUAAUAAGGUCCUCAUUUUCUUACUGGGGGACAGGAUGGGUUAUGACAACUGCAGGUGGCUGUGGAUUGCUGUCUCUCCUACCGGCCGUGGGUUUCUGGGGAUGGCUUCUGUGGCAGCAAUGAGCACAGGCCUCGGUGUCACGCUCAGAGAGGUCCCGAGCGCCUCGGCACUCUCCAUCAGCGAAAGGCUCGCUCCCCUGCCCCUCUGUUCCUGAAAUCCUCCCACUGGGGCCCCUGGCUGGCUGCUGUGCCCAGGCAGCCCACAGUGAGGGGCACGUGUCAGGCCUCCCCAGGCCCAUAACCCUUAGAGGCCACACCAGAACCACAGGCUACAAGAAACAAAGCAGCUGGAAGUUUCCCUCCCUACACAGAAGCCUCUAGAGGCAAGUUGGAGACGUCUGGUGAGCUGGUGUAGUAUGACCCACACUGAGUUCAAAGGUGCAGAAGGAACCUAAAUGAGGCUCGAUGUUCACUGGGUGGGGGAGAGGGCUUAAGGAAGGCAGGCUUGGGUCCCGGAGCAAUUAACUAGGUGUGUGAGGUCACCCACCCAAACACAGUCAGACAUGAGUGGGAAAUGACAGGAUAGUGACAAAGCCUGCAGGGCUAACUAGUGCCUGUGACUGCCAGAGCUCCUGCCCACGGUGCCAUCCUGAUCUCCCAACCCCGCCCAGCUGCAGAAGAGGUCAUGCCCUGCCACCUGCCUGCGGGCAUGCAGGUGGGGAAUGUAUAUGCAGCUCAAGGGUGGCAUCGUGUGGUCAUUUUGAGGUAGUGCACCCCACAGCCUCCCAAGCGCUCCAUCCAUGGAUCACUCCCCCAGGUCCGAGUCCGACUCUGUUCUAGGAGGGCAAGGCCUAUAGUCCUUGCCCACAGAAUUGGAGUUCUUUGAGUUGCUGUCCUGAGGGGCUCAGAGCCUGCGAGGGGUGUUGGAGAGGAAAAAGAGAUGGAGUAUGAGAGGGAGGUGGGGGGAAAGUUGCUAGGUGGAAGAAGCCCCUCAGGAAGGGUGUCUGCCCCCCAUGCUGCUCUCCUGGGUCUAGGCCACCUUUCAGAGUGGUUUUCUGGGUCCACAUCACAGGCGUUUGACUGUCCUUGCCCCUUCACUUGAGCCCCUCAGGCUGCAACUCAGAUCCCUGCGCCCUAGGGAAGCUGCUCCCAGGGAAGAGAGUGGAACCCAGGGAGAGGGAUUCAGAGAAGACUCCUGUUUCUGUUGUGAAUUAAAGAAUCUCAACUUCAGAAUGGAUCGGAUCCGGAUUUACAUCUCAGGUGCUCGCCAUACGAGCUGUGUCACCUCCUUUACCCUCCCCGUGGGCACCUGUGGCCUCAUCAGUGACACCGCUACGAUGCCCACCUUGCAGGAGCAGGGAGAGGAGCCAGUGCUGGUACAGGGAGUGGGCAAAACCAUGGAGAGGAAGGCCCCUGACUCUGAGUCUAGGGGUGUCAGCUCUGGGGAGUGUCUGCCCGGCUGCCCGUUGCUCUUUCUGCUUUUGUGUGUUUGGGUUCAUUUGGCAGCGAGCUGUUUGAUUGAAACCAGCCACGUGUGCAUGCCCCCUCCCAAGGCACCCCAACAGACAGGAGGCGUGCCAAGGGCCCGAGGGCUGUGGCCAGCACUGGAGCAAGUCCACAGGUCCCAGGAGCUGAGAGGGAAUGGGGGCAAUGGGAGGGGCACGGCUGCCAGAGCGGCAGGGAACAAGGCUGAGUCUUAG
ensembl:lncRNA